rnacentral:rRNA from 1 species
UGCAAGUCGAGCGGUAGAGAGAUGCUUGCACCUCUUGAGAGCGGCGGACGGGUGAGUAAUGCCUAGGAAUCUGCCUGGUAGUGGGGGAUAACGUCCGGAAACGGACGCUAAUACCGCAUACGUCCUACGGGAGAAAGCAGGGGACCUUCGGGCCUUGCGCUAUCAGAUGAGCCUAGGUCGGAUUAGCUAGUUGGUGAGGUAAAGGCUCACCAAGGCGACGAUCCGUAACUGGUCUGAGAGGAUGAUCAGUCACACUGGAACUGAGACACGGUCCAGACUCCUACGGGAGGCAGCAGUGGGGAAUAUUGGACAAUGGGCGAAAGCCUGAUCCAGCCAUGCCGCGUGUGUGAAGAAGGUCUUCGGAUUGUAAAGCACUUUAAGUUGGGAGGAAGGGUACUUACCUAAUACGUGAGUAUUUUGACGUUACCGACAGAAUAAGCACCGGCUAACUCUGUGCCAGCAGCCGCGGUAAUACAGAGGGUGCAAGCGUUAAUCGGAAUUACUGGGCGUAAAGCGCGCGUAGGUGGUUCGUUAAGUUGGAUGUGAAAUCCCCGGGCUCAACCUGGGAACUGCAUCCAAAACUGGCGAGCUAGAGUAUGGUAGAGGGUGGUGGAAUUUCCUGUGUAGCGGUGAAAUGCGUAGAUAUAGGAAGGAACACCAGUGGCGAAGGCGACCACCUGGACUGAUACUGACACUGAGGUGCGAAAGCGUGGGGAGCAAACAGGAUUAGAUACCCUGGUAGUCCACGCCGUAAACGAUGUCAACUAGCCGUUGGGAGCCUUGAGCUCUUAGUGGCGCAGCUAACGCAUUAAGUUGACCGCCUGGGGAGUACGGCCGCAAGGUUAAAA